CUCUAAAUAAAUAACAUGUUGAAUCCACCAGUUCUCCAGUUCCCAGUGGGUCACUGAAGUCAAGCAACGUCGCCCGCGGUUAGUAUUCGGAUGGGUGACUCUCUGGACAAUACAGUGAGCGC
rnacentral:rRNA from 1 species